rnacentral:rRNA from 1 species
GCAAAACGCGAAGAACCUUACCUACUCUUGACAUCCACGGAACUUAGCAGAGAUGCUUUGGUGCCUUCGGGAACCGUGAGACAGGUGCUGCAUGGCUGUCGUCAGCUCGUGUUGUGAAAUGUUGGGUUAAGUCCCGCAACGAGCGCAACCCUUAUCCUUUGUUGCCAGCGGUCCGGCCGGGAACUCAAAGGAGACUGCCAGUGAUAAACUGGAGGAAGGUGGGGAUGACGUCAAGUCAUCAUGGCCCUUACGAGUAGGGCUACACACGUGCUACAAUGGCGCAUACAAAGAGAAGCGACCUCGCGAGAGCAAGCGGACCUCAUAAAGUGCGUCGUAGUCCGGAUUGGAGUCUGCAACUCGACUCCAUGAAGUCGGAAUCGCUAGUAAUCGUAGAUCAGAAUGCUACGGUGAAUACGUUCCCGGGUCUUGUACACACCG